UGGGGAAUCUUGCACAAUGGAGGAAACUCUGAUGCAGCGACGCCGCGUGAGCGAUGAAGCCUUUCGGGGUGUAAAGCUCUUACGCCAGGGACGAUAAUGACGGUACCUGGAGAAGCAGCUGCGGCUAACUACGUGCCAGCAGCCGCGGUAAUACGUAGGCAGCAAGCGUUGUUCGGAAUUACUGGGCGUAAAGGGUGCGUAGGCGGUGUUCUAAGUUUGGUGUGAAAUCUCCCGGCUUAACUGGGAGGGU
rnacentral:rRNA from 1 species